CAUAUAAGUAUUGGUGUGUACUGCAUGGUUCUGGAAUCAGCAAAAUGAUAAGAAAUUUGGCCCAGUCUUGGUAAAAUUACAAGCACUGUACACAGAAAGAUGUAUAUGGGACUACACGAACAUGUGGCAUAAAACUCAGUCCCGAAUUUUAUAAUGUUACAUGCCAUAUUUAGAAUAUUAAGGCAUUUGAAGAGCCAUGCUUUUCAGGGAACAUUUUUUACCUGAUGUUCUU